rnacentral:lncRNA from 1 species
CGCUGUGGAGCCGCGCAGGGUCUAGGGCGACUCUCUGAGGGAGCCGCGGCCGCCAGGCUCCGUGGGUUUUGGUUCAGGCGCCGGUGUGCCCAAGGAUGUUGUAGAACUCUGUCUAGCCACAGUGUGGGGAUGGGGAGCUCCCGCCGACAGACUCUGUUGCUUUCUGGCUUGGCCGCUGGUUGUCCCUUGCUCCUGGAAGGUCACCAUAUUGAUGCCAAACUCAGUGUGGAUGCCCAAUUGGUAGAGUGCACUACAGCCCAGAACUCAUGGACUCAAGUCAGCCUCCCAAGUCCCUGGGACUACAGAUUCCUGAAUGAUCCGGCGGCAUGGCAGAGGUGGUGCCUACUGAUAUGGCUCCGAUGACUGGAGGAACACCAGGGUCCUUGGUCUUGCGCCAAUGUAGGUGUUCUUUGAGAAGAAUGACAACUCUGUUGGUGAAAAUACAUGUGAACUAAAUUGCAGUGAACUGAACUGAACCAAACUGAAACGUGGACAGUAUCAGGUGAGGCUCAAAGGAAGGUGGAAGAUGUGGAAGAGUUUAGAAUGUGUGCCGUUCUCUUCAAGGGGGAAGGAGUAUGACUGUUAUGCCCAUAGAAGGGCUGGGAGAACAAGGGGCCCUCACCGUGUGGAAGGAAGCACUCUAAAACGAAGCCCCCACAGAGGCAAAGAUCGGAGUGAUAUGGUACAAGCCAAGGCAUGCUGGCAGCCACUAGAAGCUGGCAAGGAAGGAUUGUCCCCCAGAACCUCAGUAGUGUGGUUCUGCUAACACCUUGCUUUCAGCCCAGUGAAACUGAUUUCAUACUUUUGCCUUCCAGAACUAUAAGAGAAUAAAUUUCUAUUGUCUUAUGCCGCUAAGUUGAUGGUAAUAUGUUACAGCAGCCACACGAAACAAAUAUAGCUGUGUACUACCUAACAACGUUUCUGUCAAUGAUGGACCAUACAUGCAACAGUGAUCUCAUAAGAUUAUAAUGGAGCUGAAAAAUUCCUGACAUUGUAGCUGUUGUAGUAUGGCAGCACGACACAUUUCUCACAUGUUUGCAGUGAUGAUGGUGGUGUAAACAAACCUAUUGUACUGCCAGACGUAUAAAAGUAUUAGAAAAAUGUGGA